UACGUAGGGGGCCGAGCGUUGUCCGGAGUUAUUGGGCGUAAAGCGCGCGCAGGCGGCCUCGCGCGCCCGACGUGAAAAGCCCCCCGGCUUAACCGGGGAGGGUCGUUGGGGGACGGCGGGGCUUGAGGGCGGGAGAGGGUGGUGGAAUUCCCGGUGUAGUGGUGAAAUGCGUAGAGAUCGGGAGGAACACCCGUGGCGAAGGCGGCCACCUGGGCCGACCCUGACGCUGAGGCGCGAAAGCGUGGGGGAGGCAAACGGG
rnacentral:rRNA from 1 species